rnacentral:rRNA from 1 species
CAGCAGCCCCGCGGUAAUACAGAGGGUGCGAGCGUUAAUCGGAUUUACUGGGCGUAAAGCGUGCGUAGGCGGCUUUUUAAGUCGGAUGUGAAAUCCCCGAGCUUAACUUGGGAAUUGCAUUCGAUACUGGGAAGCUAGAGUAUGGGAGAGGAUGGUAGAAUUCCAGGUGUAGCGGUGAAAUGCGUAGAGAUCUGGAGGAAUACCGAUGGCGAAGGCAGCCAUCUGGCCUAAUACUGACGCUGAGGUACGAAAGCAUGGGGAGCAAACAGGAUUAGAUACCCUGGUAGUCCAUGCCGUAAACGAUGUCUACUAGCCGUUGGGGCCUUUGAGGCUUUAGUGGCGCAGCUAACGCGAUAAGUAGACCGCCUGGGGAGUACGGUCGCAAGACUAAAACUCAAAGGAAAUUGACG